UUGAAGUCGAGAAUGAAAGGAAAAAUUAAAAUAAACUGUCUUAAAAGUUUUUUUUGAAAAUUGCUGAUAUGGUGAAAAUUCCAUAGAAAAUUUUAAUAGACGAGAAGACCCUAUGAAUUAUUUAUUAAAAAAUUUUUUUGGAAAAUUUUAAAUUUUUGUUGGGGCAACAGGAAUUAAUCGAAAAAAUUUCAUUUUGGAUAUAUAACAUUUGAAGUUUUACUAUAAGUGAAUUUAAUU
rnacentral:rRNA from 1 species